rnacentral:rRNA from 1 species
UACAGGGGGUGCAAACGUUGCUCGGAAUCAUUGGGCGUAAAGCGCACGUAGGCGGUUCGUUAUGUCGGAUGUGAAAGCCCUUGGCUUAACCGAGGAAGUGCAUCCGAAACUGGCGAGCUAGAGUACUAAAGAGGAUCGCGGAAUUCCCGGUGUAGAGGUGAAAUUCGUAGAUAUCGGGAAGAACACCCGUGGCGAAGGCGGCUCUCUGGGACGGUACUGACGCUGAGACGCGAAAGCGUGGGGAGCGAACAGG